CGCCCCCUGGCGGACGGCGGUGGGUGCAGCCCCUCCGUGAGGGGGGAGCUCGGUCCCGCUCCCUCAGCCGGACCCGACCGGCGCAGAGCCAACACCCGACCGGGAAAGUGCCGGAAUGCAGGCGGGACAUCACCGAUAUUCAACCUGACAUGGCCUAAAGUCAACCGAGGCGGUCCUACAGGACACGAGACGGUGCAGAACCUCAGAAGAUAAUGAAAUAUGUUAUGGAAAACUACACUGAAACCAUUCAUCUCUUCAGGAUUAUCAGCAAUGACUGUGGCCUCUCCAGAUCUGGUGAGCAGCACAACAGAGCCAUUAAACCAYUGCUCUUGGAAGAAAAUGGAACAACCACAACCCAAUUAAGUCAGUAAGACUGGGAAAACACCAUGCCAGAAGGAAUCCAUCUCAGCUCUGGGAUGCUUUCACCUUCCUAGCAGAUCUUCCAUCAAAUGCCAGUCUUUAAAGCAUGGAUUCGUGCCUGGAAGGACGAAUUUCCCAUGGAACRCUGCCCUCCAGGAAGGACAGCAAAAGAGAUGGAGGUAAAUGAAGAUGACCUUGAAACACAUUGCUCUGAAAAAAUGACAGGCCUCCCAUGGAGGGAAUAAUGCAGCGGAAUUGCAGCCUCACUCCCAACAGUGGUUGUUGCUAUGGUGAUUGAUACCGAAAAGCCCCUAUAGAUGGAGACUGCAGAAGGAAUAGUAAUUCCUGAUAUUGUUCAAAUCACUAAUGGAGCUGAGGAGCCAUCUCACGCACUCCUGCAAAUUAAUAUUUGCAUGUGCUCGCUGCCUUUGYCACACGCUGCCCUCAAACACAAAUCAGUCAUUUUCCCAUUCUCUGCAGCAGUAUUUGCAUAGUAUUAGUUAAUUAUAACCCAGCAACCAGAUGCCAAAGCCCCUGCUGACAAAUAAUAGUUGGUUCAAAAAUGUAUUUGCUGAUUUAGAAUGUAAUUCCUGAGAAUCAUAUAUUCAUUCCAAGUGGCUUAAUUAUCUGAAAAURGAAUUAAUUAUGACCCCCAAUUUACAGAGAAAAGCAGUUUAUGUACAAAGGUAUGCACACCCUGCGCUGUCUGUCUUUAAUUUUACGUAAGUGCAAUAAGGUUGGAAAUCAUACCUCUGGUCUCCUCAAUUUUCCUUCAAACCAGGAAAGGGUUAGGAAGUUUAUCAAAGGUUCUUCUGGCUAAAUGACUGAAAAUGACCUCAAAAUAAGAAUAAGUUAAUCCAGCAUAGAGGGUUUAAGGGUAAAAUAAAACAGCUUGAAAGACAAAAAUGGAUGGCCAGAAUACCAAAGAUUAAUACUGCCCUGCUUUUUGUGACAAUCCAAGACACCCCAUGGAGAUCUCGUGAGGAUAAAAGCAUAAUUAUUACUCUUUUAUAUUCUGACUGGAAUAUAAUCARCUGAAUCAGAUUGGAGAUGUGUGGUACUAUAUAUUUGGUAGCCAAAAUGUAAAUGGAAAAAAAAAUGCUGGGAUGUGUCUAGUGAGUUUCUUUACUGACUUUGAAAAUUGGAGCCUGUACAGGACAAGCUCACUUCUGUUCCCUUAGACAUGACUUGCUURUUAAAAUGGCAAUUUUACAAAUUACACCAAUUUGGCAAAUCCCUCAGAAACAUCUGAUAAUAGCCUUUAUGCUAACAGCUGCUCUAAUACUAUCACACAAAAUUCUGUAUUUCUGAGGAAUAUAUAAAUGUUCAGCAAGCAGAACAGAGCAUUACUGAGCAGGGCUUCAUCCUGGGACAGUGCACACAAAUCCCAUGACUGCACACACAGACCUCUUGGAUUUGGCAGGAUUCCCCGUAGUUAUGCAUUUUCUGCAUGACCAGGAUUUAACUUUGCCAUUGUAGGGUUUAAAUUACAGAUUACUUUUCCACGAAAAGCCAAUCCAUGCAUGUCACCUUCCAUCCCCAUGGCAGUGUCCCACUCUGUGCUCACCUGCUGACACCGAGACACCACCUACCUGUUUCCCCCAUGGUUUCCUGGCUCCUUAUGUCCAGCUCAGGAGAGACUUCAUUAGAAUCCUAAAAGCCACGCUCCAGUMACAUUGUCAAAUGACAGCACAAUURGUUUUAUUCUUAGAUAAUGUGGGAAAAGCAAGGAAUCCCAACCCAUGGCUCCAUAGCUUUGUCAGUGGUCUGCCACUUUCUCUUUACCCUUACCCGUUCCUAAGCCCAGCAAUGGUACCAGUUUGGCCAGCUGGAAAGCUGAGCCGUUUUCCCAGAGUGAAUUAAGUAAUUUCUAAGUUACUGCAAUAACUCAGCAGGGAAUCCCAGAGGUUGCUGACUCACAGCUCUGAACUCACCUGAGCAGUGAGGGACAGAACAGAGCUCACUUUACAAGCAGUGAGGUCAGUGCCCCAUAAARUUUCAACUUCCACUAAUUUACUUUGCUUGAUGGGAGCUCUCUGUAAGAGGAGAUAUUUCUUCUUAUUGCAGUUGCUUCACUAUUAGCCUUAAACAUUCCCUGCGUUUGGAACAUGCACUAUUAACUCUUCUGGAGCACAGACCAAACAAGGCACGGCUGAGAGCUUUGCCUUCUCAAGCCCCCAGUUUACCCAACCAUGGCUCACAUUUCUCUAGAAACAAUGAUCCAAAGAGAUCUUGAAUGUAGGUUCAAUAACAAUUUAACAUUUGCUUCUGAAAUAAAAUAGUYCACAAGACAACUGAUCUGAAGGGAGAAGAACCUUAAAAAAGAAGCACUAAGGCCACUGGCAGAAUUUGGUGUACCCACAUUCAAGGUUAAGAGCAUAAGCACAUCCUAUAGCAACCAAGACCAUAAAUCCARAACCCUUUGGUGAUUUUGGGGGAGGGAGAGACUGACAGACUGUUCAGAAAACAAAUGUCCCAAUUGUUUUCACAGUUAUGUGUUAUUAGAGGGCCCGGCUAUUAUGUGAUGCAGACAACGUACUUAUGUACCCGCAAUUCCAGAAAAGAAUGGCAAUCAUUUUUGAAAACACAGUAUUAGAUUUUCUACUCAAAUGGAAAAUUUAAUCACUGAGUGACACUCACUGCAAUUAAACCUGUAUGGGUCAUGUGCUGACUGUGCUCACAUUAACAGCAGUGAGAUUUCCAUGGCAUUAGGAUUURCCUGGCAGUUUCUGUGACUUGGGAAUAGAAAGCAGCACUUCCCUGGWUUUGGGCUGAGAUGAAGACUCAGAUGUUCAACAUGAGCAAGUAUUUUAAAGUUAUUGGAACAAAGAAGGGUAAGGAAGUGGUAUUUAUUGUGAGCUAAACUUUUCUCAUUACAUUUAUCAAAAAAAAUUAUUUGCAAAGUAAAAGCAAAGUUAAUCCAACCAUUAUAUCAUCCUCUGUAGGCAAAGAGUGUAUUUCAGCCAYUAAGAUGACUUUCAGAUGCUGUUUUAUCUAUUAAUAUGACUCAUAAACCAACUUCUUUUUUUUUUUCUUUUUCAUCAAGCAUGACAUGGUCCUCUCCUGCGUAGGACUGUGCUCAGUUCAGGGUACUGGUUUUAAUUUAGCCUUCAGAUCAUAUGCUCAGGAAGCAGAACUGUUAAUUAGUGUAACACAUAUGUACUGGUGGCCACUGCAGGAUGCAACUCCUACCCACAUAUCUGCCAUCAUAGCAUCAUCAUUGGCAUUGCCAGCUACAGAAGAUUUCCMUGAAUAAAACUAAACAGAUUCUUGCUUUUUGCAUGAAUAGGCUCAAAAUUAUAGCUGCAUUCUUAGAAGAAAGCACUUCAGGGACAUGAAACACAAUUGUAUUUGGCAAUAAGAGAUGUAAUUUCUUGACUAUUUCAACUCUAGGAGCUCUAACUGUUGAAAGACAGACUACCCAAAAGAUAAACAUAAUUACAGGCCAAUUUUUGCUCCUCUGACAGUAUGAUGUGAGAUAGGAAAGAAGAAUCARAGCUAAAGUGCAGGAAGAGCAGCAGCAACAAUCUCGUGUGGGUGUGCAMAGGUAUCCUGCAGUCCAGCACUAUUAAACUUUAAUUAUCCACAGAYCUUUGUAUCAAGUAGUCCUGUUCCAGAACCCUGUGUACAACGAUCCUUUUGGGUGUGAAGGAUGUGUCUGUGUGGGGCUGUGAGUGUUCUUUGCAUCUCCCCUUUUCCCCAAGCACUCUUUCACAGAAACACUGCAGAAGUUCCACUGCUGGAUUGUCUUGUUUUCAGAUGGUGUUUUCAUCUACUCUGCUUUAGAGAAUCAAUUAUUCAAGGAGCACUGAUAGGGACAAUUUCUCAGUGAGGAGGAGCAGCACAGGGCACCCCCAAGGCCUGCAGUGUGAGCYAGGCCCACUCUGUGCUGGAAGCUCCAUCUGCAGAUGUGCCACACGUCUUCCUUCAGAAACCCAAGCUCAAGAGGCAGCAGCAGGGAAAACAAAUCCAUUUGACCCUCACCUUCUGCAGGUAUAGCCCUUCCACAGCUUGGGCCACAGCUUUAGGGUUUAAUUCUGGAUUUACACAACGACUGCCUUACCUUUACCCUAAGUUCACACACUGUUUAAUUAUGUUUAAUUACUACGAGCAUCCAGUAUAUUAAAAAUGCAACUACUUUCACUUUUCCUGUCAGCAUGUAAUUAAAAGUAACUCCCAAUCUCUUUUUUYCCUUGCCAUUUUGUUCUGAAGGAACCCAGGACAAAUAUGAUUAKGGGCUGAGAUUUUUCCCAAAUAACAAUGGGGAUUUUUCUGCAAAUUACUACUGCUUUUGAAGGAGCUCUAAUACUUUAAGCAGUGAUAAAGUGGCAGCUGUACAUGUUUAAUUUCUGAGAGCCAGGGCAUAAUGCACAAGCAUUAAUCCCUCCAGCUGUCCAGUAAUUAAACAUCAUGUAAAGCCCAGAGGAUAUCAUUGCUGUGCUACUGUAUCUUAUUUACCAAGGACUUGCAUUUGUUAAAUCUAGCAAUUCUUUUUUUCUUGGAAAUAAUUGUAAAUUCUUACACCACAACAAGUGCACUGAAGUUACAGCUACCUUCUAUAAAAUGCAAAGAAUUUCAGACCAGCCAUGUUUCUUAUCAUCGUAAAUAAUGAUAGUAGAUAAAGAUUUCCUUUACAGGCAUGAAUGUGAUACUGUGGGCUUUAACCCUAUUACAAGUGGUGGGUUUCUYAGGGAGAAUACAUGGUAAAAUCUGAUCCUUUGGGUUUGAUGUGCCUCUGAGGUGACUGGAGAACAGCACAUCCCUGUGCACCUGGCCUGUUAAUGAAGGCAGUGAACAGAAUUCCCAACUUUGACAAAAGGUACACAUUCAACAAACUGUAAUGAAAAAUAAAAUCAGUGCUGCAUGAUCACCAAGUUAAAAGGUCUCAGUAGGAUCAAUGGAGAUCUGAAAUGGACUGGGUAAGUAUGGUCAAAUCCCAAAAGGGAGCACUGGAAGCAUGACYCAGAUGCAAAA